rnacentral:rRNA from 1 species
CCUACGGGUGGCAGCAGUGGGGAAUAUUGCACAAUGGGGGAAACCCUGAUGCAGCGACGCCGCGUGAGUGAGGAAGUAUUUCGGUAUGUAAAGCUCUAUCAGCAGGGAAGAAAAUGACGGUACCUGACUAAGAAGCCCCGGCUAACUACGUGCCAGCAGCCGCGGUAAUACGUAGGGGGCAAGCGUUAUCCGGAUUUACUGGGUGUAAAGGGAGCGUAGACGGAAUAGCAAGUCUGAUGUGAAAACCCGGGGCUCAACUCCGGGAGUGCAUUGGAAACUGUUGAUCUAGAGUGUCGGAGAGGCAAGCGGAAUUCCUAGUGUAGCGGUGAAAUGCGUAGAUAUUAGGAGGAACACCAGUGGCGAAGGCGGCCUGCUGGGCUUUAACUGACGCUGAGGCUCGAAAGCGUGGGGAGCAAACAGGAUUAGAUACCCUUGUAGUC